UCCAUAAUAAACCCCAGGAAGAGUAGCUGCUGCCUUGGUAGUAGCUAAUGGGGAUUCAUAAUAAACCCCAGGAAGAGUAGCUGCUGCCUUGGUAGCAGCUAAUGGGGAUUCAUAAUAAAUACAAAUAACAACCCUGUUCCUGGAGAGCUACCGAUCUGUAGGUGUUUGCUCCAACCCUGUUCCUGGAGAGCUACCGAUCUGUAGGUGUUUGCUCCAACCCUGUUCCUGGAGAGCUACCGAUCUGUAGGUGUUUGCUCCAACCCUGUUCCUGGAGAGCUACCGAUCUGUAGGUGUUUGCUCCAACCCUGUUCCUGGAGAGCUACCGAUCUGUAGGUGUUUGCUCCAACCCUGUUCCUGGAGAGCUACCGAUCUGUAGGUGUUUGCUCCAACCCUGUUCCUGGAGAGCUACCGAUCUGUAGGUGUUUG